rnacentral:rRNA from 1 species
AACGAACGCUGGCGGCAGGCCUAACACAUGCAAGUCGAGCGGACCCUUCGGGGUUAGCGGCGGACGGGUGAGUAACGCGUGGGAAUAUGCCCUUCUCUACGGAAUAGUCCUGGGAAACUGGGGGUAAUACCGUAUACGCCCUUUGGGGGAAAGAUUUAUCGGUGAAGGAUUAGCCCGCGUUGGAUUAGGUAGUUGGUGGGGUAAUGGCCUACCAAGCCGACGAUCCAUAGCUGGUUUGAGAGGAUGAUCAGCCACACUGGUACUGAGACACGGCCCAGAAUACUACGGGAGGCAGGAGAGGGGAAUCUUAGACAAGGGGGGCAAAACUGAGCUAGCCAUGCCGCGUGAGUGAUGAAGGCCUUAGGGUUGUAAAGCUCUUUCAGAUGGGAAGAUAAUGACGGUACCAGCAGAAGAAGCACCGGCUAACUCCGUG